GCAUCAAUUACUAUUGCCACCUUCGGGUCGGCAUAAGAAAAAUUGGAACAAUACAGAGAAGAUUAGCAUUGCCCCUGCAUAAGGAUGACAAACUCGAGCAGAGAGGAGGUUCUUCGGAACCAAAUAUUUUUUGUCGUAUAUUUUGUUACAUAUACGACAACCCAUGCCGCACUUAUGUUCAGUUGAGAUUUAAGAUUUCAUUUGAAGACUGCUAUCGCCAUUAGACUUUUUGUUGCCGGUAGUCGUUAUGAGGAUAUAAAGCUCGUGUACCCUAUAAGCCAGUUAUAUUCGUUAGUACGUAGUGCCAUCGAUGAUGGUGGUGUACGGCGCGGACGUGUCCAAAUUUCUUCAAAAAAAGAUAGAAAAUGCGAAAUGCGAUUUUGAAAAGUGCGAAAAAGCUCUUCAACAAC